CUACGGGAGGCUGCAGUGAGGAAUAUUGCACAAUGGAGGAAACUCUGAUGCAGCAACGCCGCGUGGAGGAUGACGCAUUUCGGUGUGUAAACUCCUUUUAUAUGUCAAGAAAAUGACGGUAGCAUAUGAAUAAGCACCGGCUAACUCCGUGCCAGAAGCCGCGGUAAUACGGAGGGUGUAAGCGUUACUCGGAAUCACUGGGCGUAAAGGACGCGUAGGCGGGAUAUCAAGUCAGGUGUGAAAUCCUACAGCUUAACUGUAGAACUGCACUUGAAACUGGUAACCUAGAGUAUGGGAGGGGGAGAUGGAAUUAGUGGUGUAGGGGUAAAAUCCGUAGAUAUCACUAGGAAUACCUAAAGCGAAGGCGAUCUCCUGGAACAUAACUGACGCUAAGGCGUGAAAGCGUGGGGAGCAAACAGGAUUAGAUACCCCAGUAGUC
rnacentral:rRNA from 1 species